UGCUGAAAGUAGCAGUCGGCUACUGGGUAAAUUCUUCAACUUUGUGUGUUCUGCUUUAUAACGUUGAUGCCCAUGAUGGGAUGUUGACCCCGAUGAUACAACUUCCCUGUAUAAUGGCCACAUUCACCUCGGCCUCUAAGAUGCAGUGGCUUGGAAGCUAUAAGACAACAUGAAGAAGUCCCUGCAGGAUUUUUCGCGAUUAUGUAAAUAGCGACCUGCACCCCAGACAGAUGUAAAAGCUAUUGGCACCACCAGGGGGUGCCAAAGGACAGCACCUGUUUACAUUUUCAGCUAAUGGGCCCUAAGAAAGAGUAGAAAAAGAAUUGCCCCCAAGCUAGACCGUUAGUGCAUAAACUCACCUUGCACCAUC
rnacentral:lncRNA from 1 species